AAUAACAACAGAAACUAAGCUCUGAUUAUUAAUACCUAUUGCAUUUCAGGUACAGUGCCAAGUGCUUUAUAAGGUCAUAGCUUGGGUCUGAACUGUGACACUUGGACUUCAGAGCAAAUGCUCCUAACCACUGGGCUGUGGUGCUUGGACUGGAGGCACAGAGAUGCUGAGGGAUUGCUGAAGGAAUUCAGUUUCUAAAGACAAAGCUGCAAGCUCUCAGAAAGACCAGAACAAUGCUUGUAGAUUGCUCUAUUUAAACUCCAUACGAGCAGCAGGAUGCAGAGUUCAUUAAGGAAUGCAAUUUUCCAUUUGCUGAUAGUUCCAAUACUGGGAUAGACUGAAUUGGAUGCAAUAAUAAACAUAUCUUAUGAAUACCAGAGGUAGGAUUUUCAAUAUUUUCUCUGUAUGAAAAACAGACUGUUUUCAAUUUCUCAUUUGAUCAAAUAGAGGGUUAUUAAGUUCAUUACUAACGGUGUUAUUUUUGGUC
rnacentral:lncRNA from 1 species